UUUUUUUUUUCCCGAAAGGUGGAGUAUUCAAUGAAUAUAAUGUAUCUGCUCCAUACCUGUGGAAAUCCAAUGUAAAUUGCAGUUACUUUUCUCCUCAAAAUUGUGGCAUUUGAGAAUCUCUCUCCCUGUACGUGGAUCUCACAUGGAUAUUUUCUUGAACUGUUCAGAUUCUAAAUUGUUUUAGUUAUUUAUACCAGUACCUAAUAAUCGAAAGGUAUUUUUAAAGGUCUGCUCACAUGACUCCAAUUGCCAAGGGCUAGUACAAUGGUAUUCAAUUAAUUCAUUAAUGUCUUAUUAGUAUAUCCAUGAAGAAGAAGAAGUGAGGAGGCCACUAUAAUUUUAAUGAAGAAGCUGAUACGAGCUGAAAGGUGUGGCAUUGGAAGGAGGAGAGGACAGGUAUAACAGAAAUCAAUUUAAUCAGGCUUCCAGUGAUGCUCUUGGUGGAGACAGAAGUAUUCCAGACACAAGAAACUCACAUAUUUGAAAUACAAGUCCUCCAAGCUUAACAAAAGAAAUAAUAUUGACCAGUGGAUGAUUACAGUGACCAUUCUGCUAAUGGAGAACUCUUGGUUGGACUUCCGAAAGGAAACUGAAGUUCUUAGAAAUGACAGAAGAGAAGGUACAAAGUUAUAUUGGCACUUUAAAAACAUUGUGCUAACUACAAAAUUUAAGACGGAUUGUUAUGAACAGUUUUAGUUUCGCUGCGUGAUCUAUGAACAUGAACAGGAACAGCCCGCGAUUUACGAAGAAUGCGUGACUUUGAACAAUGCGUGAUUAUCGAAAUAUGCGUGAUUAUUUUUCUAUGCAUGUUUCUCUGUGGUUUAGCGAUUGCGGUUACCUGUAUGAUGCU